CNNNUANUUNANCNNGGGUNAACGGGGCCCCGGCNNGNGAAGCGGGGUANGCCCUGGGAAGAAUGGGGAAACUGAGANCAAGGNUCCCCAGGCCCCUACGGGGGCGCAGCAGUCGCGCAACCUCUGCAAUAGGCGANAGCCUGACAGGGCUACCCCGAGUGCCGUCCGCUGAGGAUGGCUUUUCUCUGGUGUAGUGAGCCGGAGGAAUAAGGAGAGGGCAAGUCUGGUGUCAGCCGCCGCGGUAAUGCCAGCUCUCCGAGUGGUAGGGACGAUUAUUGGGCCUAAAGCGUCCGUAGCCGGCUAAGCAAGUUUCCCGUUAAAUCCAGCGAUCCAAUCGUUGGACUGCGGGAAAUACUGUUUGGCUAGGGGGCGAGAGAGGCCAACGGUAUUCCCGGGGUAGGGGUGAAAUCCUAUAAUCCCGGGAGGACCACCGGUGGCGAAGGCUGUUGGCUAGAACGCGCCCGACGGUGAGGGACGAAAGCUGGGGGAGCGAACCGGAUUAGAUACCCGGGUAGUCCCAGCUGUAAACGAUGCAGGCUAGGUGUUAGGGCGGCUACGAGCCGCUCUAGUGCCGCAGGGAAGCCAUUAAGCCUGACCGCCUGGGGAGNUACGGCCG
rnacentral:rRNA from 1 species